rnacentral:lncRNA from 1 species
GCAAAUUACGUAGGACUUCUCCUUUUCUAUCAAGAUCGAUAGAUUUCAUCUAGGUGCAUCCUACUCCAAACAACAAACCUGAACCUACUGAAGCAUGUAGGGGUGUUCUUAUAGCAUGUAGGUUUUAUUCAUUCAAUGGGGUGUUCUUAUAGCAUGUAGGGGUGCUACACGUUCAUCCUUAAUCAGAAAUCAAAAUUUAUUUUUCUGCAAAACCCUAGAUCCUG